UACCUCUCAGGAUGGCACCUGGAGAAUUUCCAGUCCUCCACCAGGCUCGGCUACGGGAGGGAAAGUCUAGCAGAGGCCUACCCGUUCCAUUCCUAGCUUGGGCAGUGGCUAGAGAGUGGAAGGUAAUCUUCUAUAAGU
rfam:Ornithorhynchus anatinus chromosome 1, whole genome shotgun sequence.